rnacentral:lncRNA from 1 species
GGGUAAAGAUGAGGUUGGGCCCAAUAACUGUUAGGUGAGGGACCCAAUGACGGCUUUGCUUCUGCGGUUAUACGGUGGGUCCGACUUAACUAAGGAAUGGGGCCAAUAACUGUUAGGUGAGGUCUUCAUUACUUAGAGACCGGAUAGCGCUACAACUUGCUUGAGAAGCAUUGUACAAGAGUUGUACACACAUCGUUUAUUUGUCACCAAUAACUGUUAGGUGAGGUGGUAUGUAAAUUGGUGGGACCGUAGCACCCCACUUGAAACCUAGAGUCGCAAGGUUUCCAUUUCUCUACUAGAGGAGUGUGAGAGAUUCGAGAAAAUAGUGGGAGGUAUAUUUGUUUUAAAAGGCCCUAAAAUAAAUAGAGAUCAAGUACAAAAUUCUAAUUAGAAUCUUUACUCUCUGAGGAUUAGAAAUUCAGCUUCUAGACUCUUAACUCAUAUCCUAUAGAACAACCGUUUGACCAAACCCAAUUAUAAAGACUGGCUCAGCAAAUUUUUAAAAUAGUUUUGAAUUGUGAGAAAUUAGGGUAUGUGCUAGACCAUGGAAUCCCCGUGUUACCAAUCCGUCCGAUCACUGAUCAGCGUAAGACGCAUGCUAAGUGGACGAA